rnacentral:rRNA from 1 species
AACGAACGCUGGCGGCAUGCCUAACACAUGCAAGUCGAACGAGACCUUCGGGUCUAGUGGCGCACGGGUGCGUAACGCGUGGGAACCUGCCCUUAGGCUCGGAAUAACUCCCCGAAAGGGGUGCUAAUACCGGAUAAUGUCUUCGGACCAAAGAUUUAUCGCCUUUGGAUGGGCCCGCGUUGGAUUAGCUAGUUGGUAGGGUAAAAGCCUACCAAGGCGACGAUCCAUAGCUGGUCUGAGAGGAUGAUCAGCCACACUGGGACUGAGACACGGCCCAGACUCCUACGGGAGGCAGCAGUGGGGAAUAUUGGACAAUGGGCGAAAGCCUGAUCGAGCAAUGCCGCGUGAGUGAUGAAGGCAUUAGGGUUGUAAAGCUCUUUUACCCGGGAUGAUAAUGACAGUACCGGGAGAAUAAGCUCCGGCUAACUCCGUG